GUCCCUGUAGCGCGUUCAUUGGACUUCUAAUCCGAAGGCCGUGGGUUCGAAUCCCACCUGAGAUG